GUGGUAUGAAGACAGCUGUGCCCAGAGCAUUUAUUCUAUAGAACAAUAUCAGGCGAUGGCCUCAUAUUCACAUGAGAAUACAUCUUCAGGAAGCAACAAGAUUGAGAAACCAAACUUUGAUCUAUAUCCUUUGAUUAUGGGAAAAAUACGAGUGUAAUUCACUCUUUAGAAGCCAUGUAAUUUUUGGAGACUUCAAUUGAAAAAGUACAGCUAAGGUGUGGGUGGCACCUGUGGCAUAUGGAGGUUCCUAGGCUAGGGGUCUGAUCAGAACUACCCCUGCUGGCCUGCACCACAGCCACAGCAAUGCCAGAUCUUAGCCACGUCUGUGACCUACAACACAGCUCAGGGCAAUGCUGGAUCCUUAACCCACUGAGAAAGGCCGAGGAACGAACCUGCAACCUCAUGGUUCCUGGUCAGAUUCAUUUCUACUGCAUCGUGAUGGGAAUGCUGAAAACCUCUCAGACUUUUAACUGUGUCUGUAAGGCAAGUAAGCACAUUCUCAAUGAAGAGGGUGUUGUGAAAUUCCUUCCAGAAAAAUCUGGCAUUCAUUCUACAUUAACCUGGAGGCUGAGGAACCCUGAAAUUGUUCCAGUUAGUUCUUACUCUGCCAGGGACAAAAAUCUUCCCCAGACGUCCCUCUGCCUUACAUCUCUUUGGCAGAAGGGGUCUCAUGGCCUUUCUGAGCUACAAGGAUGGCUGGAAAAAGCAAGUCUCUCUCCUUUUAGUUCCUCUCUAAAAAAGGCAGUUUUUCAGCAUCUACAUUAGGAGACAUCACUGCCUACCAGUAGCCUCCCCACUCUUGGGAAUGGACUCUGGCAAAUUUACCACUGUAGCAGUCGACACUUCCCAUCUAGCAUGGAAGAAUGGGGUUCCAACCUUUGUUGCACUAUUUUUGAAAGACAGUCAGUAUAGGAGUGGCUGGACCAAGUCUAUUUAAAUUGCUUUGAAAUUAACCCAGUAAAGCACCACAAAACACUGCAAGCUAAAGAAGAGAGUGGGAAAAGUUGUACUGGCAUCAAUCUGUUUCUCACAACUGCCUUGUGAAGGAGGCAGGUAGCCAUCAACCAUCCUACUGAUUUUAUAAAUGAGGAUGCACAGUUAAAGGGGCAGCAGUUUGAAUUCAAGGAACCAAGUGUGAAGAGUUUCAUUUCUAGGCUCUGAAUGACCAAGGGUGUCUGGACUGUAAGUUUUCUGCUCAAAACAUGUUUGCUAUAGGUCCUCCGACAGCUGGAAUUCAUCUGAAGUACGUAGAUCUCUCUUUUUAAGAUAUUGGGUCUCUGAUGUCCAUGCUUUACAUCAAAAUUUGUAAUUUUUUUGCUGUAAAUAGUUGGAGAAUGGCAUAGGAUGACCUUUUGUUAGGCAAUGUAAAAUAUGUAUAUAUAUACACACACACAUGCACACACACAAUAAACUUUGUGAGCUAAUUCUAGAAUAGUCUUCCAUUAAUAGUAAAGUAGGAAACAUGGACUUACAUGUUAUCCUGGACAUUACUCUUUGUUUUUAUUGUAUUCAUAAACUAUUGAAGAAGGAGAAGCUCUCCUUGGAGGACAAGUGUGAUGGAGUUUGACUGUCCUUUAGUUCUAUCUGAAUCACCAAAAUGACAGGACCUCACACCUGUCUUCCUUCUAGUGAUGUCAGGUGGUUGCAACAAAGCAUGGAGGCAACCAGCACAUUAUUCCAAAAGUAUCUCCUUGAUCUGAAAAUGAAGAGAACAACUUGAUGUGAAUAAAACCCAAAGCAUUUUGGGAAAUGUUAGUCUUUCCUGAUCCCCUUUCUCUCCUUGGGAUAGAUUUAGUUGAAAGCGACGGAAUUUUGAUACUGCUUAAACACAUGAGAAGUUUCCUUUUUCUUGCUAAAACUGGACAUGGCCAUUUCGGGGGCAAAUAUAGCUGCUCUAGGGCCAGGCUCAUUUCACCUUUAUGCUUUGGUGUCCUUUGUGCAUAAUGGCUGAGCAUCUAAGUAUGUCAGCAUUCCAGAAACAAAGAAGGAAGAAGAAGGAGGAAGAAGUGGCUAUAUGAGAAUUUGGAACAUUUCCAGAAACCCCAGUAAACGUACAUCUUGUUGUCCUGAACCAAGUCCCACAGUGAUCAUUUGCUGCAGUAGAGUCUGACAACUGCUUUUUUCCCCCUCUGGACACAUUUCCUUUCCUGCAGGAGCUGAGAUUCUCUCGAUGAGGAUGGAAUAGGGAAGCGAUAUUGCCCAGGCAAUGCACCAUGGAGACCAGACCUAUCAGAGUCCAGCAGAGGAUGGUGCCCGGGCUUGGUGUGUUGGUCAUUGCUCACUACAAAUGCAAGUCAAAAUGAUAAAUGUCAAACACAAACUACCAUUUUCUUUUCUUUUUUGAGUAAAGCAAUAGCAGCCUUCCUAGUCAUGUUUACUCUUGCACCGAAUGGACGUUUGUUUUCUUGUGUUAUGUGUGUCGUUUUACAAUUGUUACCAAUUUUGGUGAAGAAGUGAAGGUUCAUUUGAUGAGAAGGGGACUUUUGGAGGGGCCAGUUCAUUCAGUUUUCAGAGGGGUCUGAUCUUCAUCUGGUGCACAGGUCCUGGGUGCCUGGCCUCCCCUUGGGAACCAUGGUCUCUUAACCCUGCCUCAAGCUGCAGAGGAUUUAAGGUUUUGUCCUAGAAGCCUUUUUAGAAGAAUCUAGAAGUCACUUUUCUAACUUCCUACCUACAGGCAUCUUGGAGGACCUCACCUGGUUCUUUGUGCAAACAUCUCCAGACAGACAUGCGUCGUCUCCAAGUCAGCCAGUUCUGAAGAGUGUGUCAGAAGGGUGUUGCUCAUAUUAAGCAGAUACCUCCUGUUAGAUUUCAGAAUAUUGUAUUAACAGUGAAACUCCAAAACCCAACUGGGUAAGAUUUUGACAAAAAGGAUGAUUGCACUAACUGGGUAUUACACUGCUAGGCCUUCCCUUUUGCAUGAGGAUUUGUUGAUUCAGAAGUGAGUGAUAAUAAGCCUCUGUUAGAAAAUUUGGAGGGAAAGUAUCUAUGAAGCUCAGCAAUAAUUCUGAAAAAUGCUAUGCAGUGUUAAAAAGAAACUAACAGUGUUAUCUGCCAUUGUGACUGGCAACUUCAUUGUGGGUUUUUUUGGUUUGUUUUGUUAUUUGUCUUUUUAUGCACCUGAGGCAUAUGGAAGUUCCCAGGCUAAGGGUCGAAUUGGAGCUUCAGCUACUGGCCUACGCCACAGCCACAGCAGCACAGGAUCCAAGCCAUGUCUGUGAGCUACACCACAGCUUGUGGCAAUGCUGGAUCCUUAACCCACUGAGCCAGGCCAGGAAUUGAACCCAUGUCCUCAUGGAUACUAGUUGGGUUCAUUACCACUGAGCCAUCAUGGAAACUCCAUGACUGGCAACUUUAAAAUUAAAACUUGAGGAUAAUUCCUUGCAAGGAUCUCUCUCCAUCUUCAGCAAGAUUGUAAAACAGGGUUAACUUCCUUCUUUUCUCCCUACCCUUCUCCUUCCCUCCUUCCUUUUCUUCCUUUCCUUCAUGCUUUCUUUCCAAAGCUUAUAACUAUGAGCAUUUUAAGGAAAAGAAGGUAAUCCCUUUUAUUUGACCUCAUGAGAAAAGGUGUCAGGAGUCAGUAUUUGAGUGUUUGGUCAGGUGAGAUGGGAGAUAUUGAAUAGAAACAGAUGGACCAAUGCCAUGAUUUUUACUGGGUCUCCUGGAGUGACUCGGUCAUGGUUAUUCAGGUUACUGUUUCACAGAGUAAAUAGAUAUGCAGCCCACAGGCAGCCAUCACUGAUACUUCCUUAUCCUUUACUUUGGGAGGGCAAAGCAUUUGCGAAUGCUGAUGAAUACUCAGCUAUUUUCAACGAGUUUGCCCAGGAUGCAGAUGACCUUCCCAAGUAAGAUGCCCCCAAGGAGGCACCUUGCAUUAUGUGACAUGGGGGGCAAGCAGCUUGUGGUUUUAUCCCUGUCUCUCUUAAAAUCAGACUACAUUAAAGAAGAGACUGGCGAUAUGAGGGAAACAAGUAGAGGUGCCAUAUUUGUUUUUGAAAAGUUGUCACACCUGAUUUUAACUAAGCUUGUAGAUGUUGGCAGUUGAAGACUAUCAAAAGGUCAAAGGCCUCCCAUAGAGUUCAUCAGAGUCUAUAUCCAGAGUUUCCUGCAGUGAGGGAGUCAGCUACUAUGGGAUGACUCCUGCUAAAGACGCAAAGGGAUUUGAAAGGGCAGAGUUUUAUGAAGUCAAAGGAAGAAAUCUCAGUCUUUGGUCAAUGUCCUAUUUGGGAGAGAUUUCCCCUUAGGGUGGGACUAGGGAAGUGGACUGGAGGUUGUGGGAGGGGGUAGUAGUGGCUGAGGAGUUUUCUGAUUGACUUUUAAAUUCAUUCAGCUGUCUGAUUGGCUCACUUCUCAGGCUGGGUUUUUUCUGUUCCAAGUGAAAGAAUAUCUGGUUCUCUGCUUUGGGUUCCAAGUCUAGUCUAAGCCAUUGCUACGGGAUUGUUGCACUGAACUGAAAGCUCCUUGUUCAGCAUAUACCAGUGCCAGGUUAAGAACUCGAUUAGUAUCCAUGAGGAUGUGGGUACAGGUACGAUCCCUGGACUUGCUCAGUGGAUUAAGGAUCCGACAUUGCUUCAAGCUGCAGCGUGGGUCACAGAUAUGGCUCGGAUCUGGUGUUGCUGUGUUUGUGGUGUAGGCCAGCAGCUGUAGCUCUGAUGCGACCCCUAGCCCUGGAACUCUCAUAUGAUGCAUAUGACACAGUAAAGCUAUAGCAGGUGAUCCUGACUUGAGGAUGGCCUACUUCAGAUAAAGAACAUAGUCUUGGAGGCACAUGGCCUUGAAUCCACAUCCAGACUUCACUUCUGGCCUGGAUCCUGGAAGACUAGACUCCUGAAAGGGCUGUGAUACUUUCAGAGGGAGUUAGAACAAAAGAAGAAACAAAGUACAAGAGUGGAAGAUGGAGAGAAGAGUAGACAGAAAAGAUGUUGAUGGCAAACCGCGACAGUCAUCUGGCAUUUCUGUUACUUUUGGGGCUCUUGACUUUGGAUAGGGAUAGAACAUCACAACAUGGUGCAGUUUGAUUCGACUGCAGGAUUUGCACCAACAGUGCCCCUCUGCAUGUGGCUGCCUUUUCUUGACUCUUACAUGAGCUUAAUUUUUGGAUUGUGUGGAUACAAAAUCAUUGUCUUAGAAGAUUGCUUUGCACCCUUCUAUGUGUUAUAUUGAAGCUGUAUAUGAAAUGUAGUCCCUGAGUAAGCUGUUUGUUCAAUAAGAGAAUGAGAUAACCUAAACA
rnacentral:lncRNA from 1 species